GCCUGGGAUUACUCAGUUGGUAGAGUAUGAGACUUUUAAUAAUGGGGAUGUGGGUUCCAGCCCCAUGUUGGGUA